CAGGGAGUUGCUCAAGGUUACAAAGAUCAAACAGCUCAGUGGAUUUGAAAAUGCUUUGAAAGGUAUUAAACAGGUCAAUAUGCAGCUCAUGGAGAUCUCUUUUUACUUGAGUUUGAAAACACCAGUAUAAGGGAGCUGGGUGACAUCGUGGAUAG